rnacentral:rRNA from 1 species
GACGAACGCUGGCGGCGUGCCUAAUACAUGCAAGUAGGACGCGGUUGCGAACGGGUGAGUAACGCUUCGGUAACUGCCUAUUAGAGGGGGAUAACUAGUGGAAACGAUAGCUAAUACCGCAUACUAGUAGGUUGACCUGCGUUGUAUUGGCUAGUAGGUGGGGUAAUGGCCUACCUAGGCGAGGAAACAUAGCGGACAUGAGAGGGUGAGCGGCCAGACUGGGAGUGUGGACGGGCACAGACUCCUACGGGAGGCAGCAGUAGGGAAUCUGGGGGAAGGGGGGGAAACCUGACCGAGAAACGCGGAGGGAGGGAGGAAGGUUGUCGGAUCGGAAAGCUCUGUUGUUAAGGAAGCGGUACUUAACGAGAAAGGGACGGCUAACUACGUGCCAGCAGCCGCGGUAAUUC